GCCUCUACACUGUAGUACUGUGAUGCCUCUACACUGUAGUACUGUGAUGCCUCUACACUGUAGUACUGUGAUGCCUCUACACUGUAAUACUGUGAUGCCUCUACACUGUAAUACUGUGAUGCCUCUACACUGUAAUACUGUGAUGCCUCUACACUGUAAUACUGUGAUGCCUCUAUACUGUAGUACUGUGAUGCCUCUAUACUGUAAUACUGUAGUACUGUAAUACUGUGUAGAGGCAUCAGUAUCUGAACAGAUUUGUAUUUAUUUAUUUUACCUUUAUUUCACUUGGCAAGUCAAUUAAGAAAAAUUACAAUGACGGCCUAGGAACAGUGGGUUAACUUCGUUGUUCAGCGGCAGGGAUUCAAUCUAGCAACCUUUCAGUUACUGGCCCAACGCUCUAACCACUAGGCUACCAGAGAUCACAGUAGAUUACAGCCCCAUAACAACAGAGAUCACAGUAGAUUACUGUCCCAUAACAACAGAGAUCACAGUAGGUUACAGCCUCACAACAACAGAGAUCACAGUAGAUUACUGUCCCAUAAAAACAGAGAUCACAGUAGAUUACAGUCCCAUAACAACAGAGAUCACAGUAGAUUACAGCCUCACAACAACAGAGAUCACAGUAGGUUACAGCCUCAUAACAACAGAGAUCACAGUAGGUUACAGCCUCAUAACAACAGAGAUCACAGUAGAUUACAGCCUCACAACAACAGAGAUCACAGUAGGUUACAGCCUCAUAACAACAGAGAUCACAGUAGAUUACAGCCUCAUAACAACAGAGAUCACAGUAGAUUACAGUCCCAUAACAACAGAGAUCACAGUAGGUUACAGCCUCAUAACAACAGAGAUCAAAGUAGGUUACAGCCUCAUAACAACAGAGAUCAAAGUAGGUUACAGCCUCACAACAACAGAGAUCACAGUAGGUUACAGCCUCAUAACAACAGAGAUCAAAGUAGAUUACUGUCCCAUAACAACAGAGAUCACAGUAGAUUACAGCCUCACAACAACAGAGAUCACAGUAGGUUACAGCCUCACAACAACAGAGAUCACAGUAGAUUACUGUCCCAUAACAACAGAGAUCAUAGUUGGAUACGGCCUCAUAACAACAGAGAUCACAGUAGAUUACAGCCCCAUAACAACAGAGAUCACAGUAGAUUACUGUCCCAUAACAACAGAUAUCACAGUAGAUUACAGGCUCACAACAACAGAGAUCACAGUAGAUUACAGCCUCAUAACAACAGAGAUCACAGUAGAUUACAGCCUCACAACAACAGAGAUCACAGUAGGUUACAGCCUCACAACAACAGAGAUCACAGUAGAUUACUGUCCCAUAAAAACAGAGAUCACAGUAGAUUACAGUCCCAUAACAACAGAGAUCACAGUAGAUUACAGCCUCACAACAACAGAGAUCACAGUAGGUUACAGC
rnacentral:lncRNA from 1 species